rnacentral:rRNA from 1 species
GACGAACGCUGGCGGCGUGCUUAACACAUGCAAGUCGAACGGAAAGGCCCUGCUUUUGUGGGGUGCUCGAGUGGCGAACGGGUGAGUAACACGUGAGUAACCUGCCCUUGACUUUGGGAUAACUUCAGGAAACUGGGGCUAAUACCGGAUAGGAGCUCCUGCUGCAUGGUGGGGGUUGGAAAGUUUCGGCGGUUGGGGAUGGACUCGCGGCUUAUCAGCUUGUUGGUGGGGUAGUGGCUUACCAAGGCUUUGACGGGUAGCCGGCCUGAGAGGGUGACCGGCCACAUUGGGACUGAGAUACGGCCCAGACUCCUACGGGAGGCAGCAGUGGGGAAUAUUGCACAAUGGGCGGAAGCCUGAUGCAGCAACGCCGCGUGCGGGAUGACGGCCUUCGGGUUGUAAACCGCUUUCGCCUGUGACGAAGCGUGAGUGACGGUAAUGGGUAAAGAAGCACCGGCUAACUACGUGCCAGCAGCCGCGGUGAUACGUAGGGUGCGAGCGUUGUCCGGAUUUAUUGGGCGUAAAGGGCUCGUAGGUGGUUGAUCGCGUCGGAAGUGUAAUCUUGGGGCUUAACCCUGAGCGUGCUUUCGAUACGGGUUGACUUGAGGAAGGUAGGGGAGAAUGGAAUUCCUGGUGGAGCGGUGGAAUGCGCAGAUAUCAGGAGGAACACCAGUGGCGAAGGCGGUUCUCUGGGCCUUUCCUGACGCUGAGGAGCGAAAGCGUGGGGAGCGAACAGGCUUAGAUACCCUGGUAGUCCACGCUGUAAACGGUGGGUACUAGGUGUGGGGUCCAUUCCACGGGUUCCGUGCCGUAGCUAACGCUUUAAGUACCCCGCCUGGGGAGUACGGCCGCAAGGCUAAAACUCAAAGGAAUUGACGGGGCCCCGCACAAGCGGCGGAGCAUGCGGAUUAAUUCGAUGCAACGCGUAGAACCUUACCUGGGUUUGACAUGGAUCGGGAGUGCUCAGAGAUGGGUGUGCCUCUUUUGGGGUCGGUUCACAGGUGGUGCAUGGCUGUCGUCAGCUCGUGUCGUGAGAUGUUGGGUUAAGUCCCGCAACGAGCGCAACCCUUGUUCACUGUUGCCAGCACGUUAUGGUGGGGACUCAGUGGAGACCGCCGGGGUCAACUCGGAGGAAGGUGGGGAUGACGUCAAGUCAUCAUGCCCCUCAUGUCCAGGGCUUCACGCAUGCUACAAUGGCUGGUACAGAGAGUGGCGAGCCUGUGAGGGUGAGCGAAUCUCGGAAAGCCGGUCUCAGUUCGGAUUGGGGUCUGCAACUCGACCUCAUGAAGUCGGAGUCGCUAGUAAUCGCAGAUCAGCAACGCUGCGGUGAAUACGUUCCCGGGGC